AUACAAUUUCUUUACCAAUAGAUAAGACUGAAAGCAACACCAGCCAGUCUUGGGAAAUAUAAAGUCACAAAUAAAUUUUGAUAAUUUUUCAUUUCGUAAAGGAUCUUUCUGCUGAUGCAGCUGUUAAGAGUGUUUCAUAAACUGUGACAACACUAAGAGGCCAGGUGCAGUGCAUGUAAUCCCAGCACUUUGGGAGACUGAGAUGGGAAGAUCGCUUGAGGCCAGGAGUGCAAGACCAGCCUGGGCAACACAGCAAGACCUUGAUUCUACUAAAAAAAAAAAAGGAUCCUUCAACUUCAACAAUAAUAACACAAGGGAAGUGAAGAAAAACACUUUCUAAGGAAAUCUCUCUCUGAGCUACCAUCCUGCUAGGGAGAGCCUGAAAGCAGAAUGCUGACUUGACUAGCUCUGGUCAAUGAAAGAAAUCACCAGUGGAAAGGCUACCAGGGGGCUUUCUCAAAAGAGAGGGACAGU
rnacentral:lncRNA from 1 species